rnacentral:misc_RNA from 1 species
GAUGAGGAACGCAGCGAAAUGCGAUAAGUAAUGUGAAUUGCAGAAUUCAGUGAAUCAUCGAAUCUUUGAACGCACAUUGCGCCCCCUGGUAUUCCGGGGGGCAUGCCUGUUCGAGCGUCAUUUCACCACUCAAGCCUCGCUUGGUAUUGGGCAACGCGGUCCGCCGCGUGCCUCAAAUCGACCGGCUGGGUCUUCUGUCCCCUAAGCGUUGUGGAAACUUUCGCUAAAGGGUGUUCGGGAGGCUACGCCGUAAAACAACCCCAUUUCUAAGGUUGACCUCGGAUCAGGUAGGGAUACCCGCUGAACUUAAGCAAAUCAAUAAGCGGAGGA